GUGGGGAAUCUUGCGCAAUGGGCGAAAGCCUGACGCAGCCAUGCCGCGUGGAUGAUGACGGUCUUAGGAUUGUAAAAUUCUUUCACCGGGGACGAUAAUGACGGUACCCGGAGAAGAAGCUCCGGCUAACUUCGUGCCAGCAGCCGCGGUAAUACGAAGGGGGCUAGCGUUGCUCGGAAUUACUGGGCGUAAAGGGCGCGUAGGCGGACAGCUUAGUCAGAGGUGAAAGCCCAGGGCUCAACCAUGGAAUUGCCUUUGAUACUGGCUGUCUUGAGUUUGGGAGAGGUGAGUGGAACUCCGAGUGUAGAGGUGAAAUUCGUAGAUAUUCGGAAGAACACCAGUGGCGAAGGCGACUCACUGGCCCAAUACUGACGCUGAGGCGCGAAAGCGUGGGGAGCAAACAGGAUUAGAUACCCUAGUAGUC
rnacentral:rRNA from 1 species